GGCUUUGUAGCUUGGCUGGUAAAGCGGUUGGCUUGUUGAGGCAUACUGUGUCUGUCGCUGGCUCGAAUCCAGCCGAAAGCCU
rnacentral:tRNA from 1 species